UCUUAAUGUCUUGAUCACUGAAAAGGUCUC
rnacentral:piRNA from 1 species